rnacentral:rRNA from 1 species
GUUAAAACUUUCAACAACGGAUCUCUUGGCUCUAGCAUCGAUGAAGAACGCAGCGAAAUGCGAUAAGUAAUGUGAAUUGCAGAAUUCAGUGAAUCAUCGAAUCUUUGAACGCACAUUGCGCCUGGCAGUAUUCUGCCAGGCAUGCCU